UACGGGGGGGGCAAGCGUUGUUCGGAAUUACUGGGCGUAAAGGGCUCGUAGGCGGCCAACUAAGUCAGACGUGAAAUCCCUCGGCUUAACCGGGGAACUGCGUCUGAUACUGGUUGGCUUGAGUGUGGGAGAGGGAUGCGGAAUUCCAGGUGUAGCGGUGAAAUGCGUAGAUAUCUGGAGGAACACCGGUGGCGAAGGCGGCAUCCUGGACCAUUACUGACGCUGAGGAGCGAAAGCCAGGGGAGCAAACGGGG
rnacentral:rRNA from 1 species